rnacentral:rRNA from 1 species
UACGUAGGUGGCAAGCGUUGUCCGGAUUUACUGGGCGUAAAGAGCGCGCAGGCGGUCGUGCAAGUCGCGUGUGAAAGCCCCCGGCUCAACUGGGGAGGGUCACGCGAUACUGCUCGACUCGAAGGCAGGAGAGGGAAGUGGAAUUCCCGGUGUAGUGGUGGAAUGCGUAGAUAUCGGGAGGAACACCAGUGGCGAAGGCGGUUGCCUGCAGCUUUGCUGACGCUGAUGCGCGAAAGCGUGGGGAGCGAUCCGG